rnacentral:rRNA from 1 species
UACGUAGGGUGCGAGCGUUUAAUCGGAAUUACUGGGCGUAAAGCGUGCGCAGGCGGUUCGUUGUGUCGGCGGUGAAAGCCCCGGGCUUAACCUGGGAAUGGCCGUUGAAACUGGCGAACUAGAAUCUGGCAGAGGGGGGGUGGAAUUCCACGUGUAGCAGUGAAAUGCGUAGAGAUGUGGAGGAACACCGAUGGCGAAGGCAGCCCCCUGGGCUGAGAUUGACGCUCAGGCACGAAAGCGUGGGGAGCAAACAGGG